GAGUAAUGUCUGGGAAACUGCCUGAUGGAGGGGGAUAACUACUGGAAACGGUAGCUAAUACCGCAUGACCUCGCAAGAGCAAAGUGGGGGACCUUCGGGCCUCACGCCAUCGGAUGUGCCCAGAUGGGAUUAGCUAGUAGGUGGGGUAAUGACUCACCUAGGCGACGAUCCCUAGCUGGUCUGAGAGGAUGACCAGCCACACUGGAACUGAGACACGGUCCAGACUCCUACGGGAGGCAGCAGUGGGGAAUAUUGCACAAUGGGCGCAAGCCUGAUGCAGCCAUGCCGCGUGUGUGAAGAAGGCCUUAGGGUUGUAAAGCACUUUCAGCGAGGAGGAAGGCGUUGUAGUUAAUAGCUGCAGCGAUUGACGUUACUCGCAGAAGAAGCACCGGCUAACUCCGUGCCAGCAGCCGCGGUAAUACGGAGGGUGCAAGCGUUAAUCGGAAUUACUGGGCGUAAAGCGCACGCAGGCGGUUUGUUAAGUCAGAUGUGAAAUC
rnacentral:rRNA from 1 species